rnacentral:miRNA from 1 species
UCAGUCUUGUCGAAUGGUG